rnacentral:tRNA from 2 species
GCCGAUUUCUUGAGGGUUGGAACGCACUCGUAAUGCGUAGGUCCGGGGUUCAAAUCCCCGAGGCGGCU